UGUACUUCAAUGGUAUUUAGUGAGAAAGCAACAAGUAAAAAUUUUAACAGUUCUCUUUAGAAUUUGAAAUGGAUGAGAUAAUUAUUGGCUGUUGAGUUGAUAAACUUGAUAUGAAAUGCAAAGGAACAGAUAAAAAUUUUAAUUUUGCUCUAAUUUGUACACGUUAUUUUUGGCUACCGUUGAUUUUUUUUUUCUCCUCCUUUUUUAUUUACUUUUGUCAAAAUUGAGCAUUUGUCCUCCAGGAGAUACCAGUUAGUAUUUGUUUUAGCACAGGUUUUUGUCUUGUUUAACAUAAUCGCUAUUUAAGAUUGUGAAAACUUCAAUUAUGCUGUACGAUUUCCGAUGUUGAUGUUAAUAUUUAGCUUUUCGAAUCAAAUUUGGCUAUUUACUUUUCCAUUUUUAUCUUGAUACAAAAAUCUCUAUUUCUUAUUCAAUUACUGAUUGAAGGAUUUGCAGUACUCUCGAUUUUCAAGUAAAAGGUUGCCGCUGAAGCUCAAGUCUAUGCAGCUGCUACUGUCUUUCUUGUACCAUUUUUGGAGAGGAAGGGAAAUUUUCUGAGGUCAUGCAAGCUGCACAACCUGUUAAUGUGCCAGAUUAUCACUCUUUAGACAGAAGUUCAACUAAAAUGACAUUACAGAUGUAACUAACAAAGACUUCGAUGCAAAAAAAAGAUUGGAAAUGAUUCAGAUAGGUUGUCUUCAAUUGAGUCAAAAAGUGCAUUGGUUGGGAAUGAGCCAAAAAAUGAAGGGUUAUUGUCUGCUUCAUCCUCCUCACAUGGCAAGCUG